CCUCUUGGUAUAACGGUGUCUCACGGUAACCACGACAACGCCGACGGCGAAGGAAGAUACGGCUGUAUGGACGACAUUAGGUUGGAUGGAAGGGUGCUCCCACUGCCUCCAUCAGUGAAUGUCACACAGUGGGGACAAGCAACUGCAGCUCUGAAUGUGGAACAUGGCUGUGGCUACUCUGACUGCAGUACUGGUUUUUGCCAAGAACCACUAAUAUACGCCAGUGUGGUAGUGAAAGUACUACUUUGAAACCAGGAGCUGACGUUUGUAAUAAUCCCGAAAGUGCAAAAUGUCUCUAUCAACACUCAAAACUUAGUUACAAGUGUGUUUGCCCUGAUGAUGCAGAAGGCAAAAGGCAUGGAUUUCUACAAGAAAGGCACACAUUUUCUCUUGGUAUAUGGAUUCUGAUUGUGUCGCUAUCAGCAGCUAUCUUUGUGCUUGGUGCAAUGUUCAGUGGAUACAAAUAUCAAUGCAGUACCCAUGAAACAACUGAAGUAAAGAAUGAUGUUCAAGAAAAUGUGAUAUUUCACGCUGAUGAAGGAGGAGGGAAAGACGACACAGUCUCCUGUAGCAUGAAAGAGUUGAAAAUAUAUGUUGACAGGAUUGGGCCUACAGAAUCAGUGGAAAUGCACAAAUUUUCAGAGAUUCAACAGAAUUCUGAAGAAAUAUUAAAAAAUAUAAUAGAAAAACACAAAAGAGAAAUUGAUAUGAAAUUAAUCUCUGACAAUUUGGACCACACAUGUUGCUAUGACUUUGAAGGCAUUGCAGAAGCUUCUAGUUCUUUAUCCUCUUUGACCACAGAGUAUGAUGGCACAGAAAAGGAUUGCAAGGACUUCACAAAAAUUGCACAAGAUGUUACCAGAGUAUAAUACAAACACCUUGGCAGGACCAAUAAGUCUUGCACUCAAUGUGACACAUCUUACAGGGUUGAGUAAGAAACCCGCAGUGGUAGUAGACCAACUUCUCAAAAGUGACACUAAGGAUAGAAGUGUUCUAUCAUUCACAGACAAUUUCUUUGUAUAUAUACUCUCUGCUUGCUGCAGUGUUGUGAUAUUAUUUGAAAAAAAUCAAGACUUAACAUAUUUUUAUAAAUAACAAAUGUGAGCAUAUACAUAUACAUAUAUUUUUUAUCACUGACUUGUUGAUAUAACAUGUGUUUUCUGUUGAUGAAUGGAGAUUUAACUUCUCGUGAAAACAGAUUUUUUUACACAUAAAUAACU